GAUGAACGCUGGCGGCGUGCCUAACACAUGCAAGUCGAGCGAAGCGAUCGAGAUGAAGUUUUCGGAUGGAAUCCUGAUUGACGGAGCGGCGGACGGGGGUGUAACGCGUGGGUAAUCUGCCUCAUACAGAGGGAUAAGCGUUAUAAAUGACUGCUAAUACCGCAUAAGCGCACAGUACCACAUGGAACGGUGAAAAAAACUCCGGUGGUAUGAGAUGGACCCGCGUCUGAUUAGCUAGUUGGUGGGGGAACGGCCCACCAAGGCGACGAUCAGUAGCCGACCUGAGAGGGUGAUCGGCCACAUUGGGACUGCGACACGGCCCAAACUCCCACGGGAGGCAGCAGUGGGGAAUAUUGCACAAUGGGGGAAACCCUGAUGCAGCAACGCCGCGUGAGUGAAGAAGUAUUUCGGUAUGUAAAGCUCUAUCAGCAGGGAAGAAAAUGACGGUACCUGACUAAGAAGCCCCGGCUAACUACGUGCCAGCCGCCGCGGUAA
rnacentral:rRNA from 1 species